rnacentral:tRNA from 1 species
GCACCGCUAGUCUAAUGGUUAGGGAUAUCUGCCUUCCAAGCAGAUGGUCCGGGUUCGAUUCCCGGGCGGUGCA